rnacentral:misc_RNA from 1 species
GGCUACAACUAUUAAUCAUUCAUGCAUAGCAAAUAAAGAGUCACUUCUACAAUUUAUUCCAUCCUACAAAUGGUUGCAAAUUAGCCUUUGCUCAAGUGUCUGAAGAGACGGACUACCAGAAAAACCUUUCAAAUAGAUAGAUGUAUGAAGAUUAGAUAGCAAUAUUUGGAAUUGACAAAAUUUUAAAAACAUUGUUUUCCAAGGAGGCGCUCGGGAUGGAGCCUCAGGCAGUGAAAGGCGCUCGACCUUACUAAGAAGCAGCGAGGCGCAAGACGUGCCUAGGCGAUUCCAAGCGAGUAUAUAAGAAAAAGUAGGGUUUUU